AGCGAGAAAGCGUUGCCGUAGGCAACGACCCGAAGGGCGAAGCGCGCAGCGCUGAGUAAUCCUUCCCCCACCACCA
rnacentral:sRNA from 1 species